UUGUGCACACUGCGAGAACAGAGGGGAAAAUUUGAUCUCCUUCUACUUGAAAUAUGCUUGGUUGGCUCAAAGAACUUCGAUAUGCUGAAGCAUUUUGUGAACGAGUUGGACCUACCCAUCAUCACGAUGUGCGCUUACGAUGAUGAUAAAAUUAGACAUGAAUCGCUUCACCAUGGUGCUUGCUUGCACCUAACAAAGCCCAUAACUAUCACCGAUCUUGGGGUUGUUUCUCAGAAGGCAUGGUUUCAGAGGGAACACAAGGAAGAGAGAUCUGAGAGCGUGGGGAGCCAACCUAACGUCAAAGAGGUCAGCCAAGCUUGUGCUUCAUCCUCUUCAAGGACACCAAAAGGUGGAAAGCUUUGGGAAAAAUGAAUUUAUUUGGAAGAGGCAAGAAGGUGGUGGUUCUAAAAAGCCAAAGAAGGCACGCUUGGAAUGGGAUUUCGAGCUCCACCAAAGAUUUCUGCUAGCUGCUGCGCUAGUAGGAGAACGUGCUCCUCCUAGCAGGAUAUAUGAGCUGAUGGGAGUUGAGGGUCUUACCCUAAAUCAAGUUUCAAAUCGCCUUCAGAGGCAUCGAACUCACUUGCGGAGAUUGGAGAGAUCAACCAAGAUUCAUCCACUGCGACAUAUAAGGCCAAUGCCUUCCUUCACCCAACAAUCUUUGCUCCCUUCAUCGCGGCCCCAUAUCCUCCUAUGCAUUCGAGUGGAUGGACUCAACCAGUAGACAUGACAGACGAAAGUCCACCAGCAGCGGAUGAUAUCGAUGAUAUAUUUGAUGUGAGAAAUUAUGUUUUCGAUGAAGCUGCUAUAGCUAAAAUGUUGGAUGAAAUUGCUAGAGAAAUAAUACCACGCCAUGACAAUCACGAACUGAUCAUGUAUUCUGAGUAGGGUUGUUCUUAAUGAAGUUACAAAUGCAAAUACCUUAUAUUUUCUAAUUAAUUUUUAGUGCUUGUUAGCUCCUGCUUCAUCUCAUGUUUCAUAUCCAAUCUUCAAUACACUAAAAGGUCAAUUUGCAGCAGAUAUAUUGAUGACCU